rnacentral:rRNA from 1 species
AGUGAACGCUGGCGGUAGGCCUAACACAUGCCAGUCGAACGGCAGCACAGGAGAGCUUGCUCUCUAGGUGGCGAGUGGCGGACGGGUGAGGAAUACAUCGGAAUCUGCCCAGUCGUGGGGGAUAACGUAGGGAAACUUACGCUAAUACCGCAUACGACCUUCGGGUGAAAGAGGGGGAUCGCAAGACCUCUCGCGAUUGGAUGAGCCGAUGUCGGAUUAGCUAGUUAGCGGGGUAAUGGCCCACCAAGGCGACGAUCCGUAGCUGGUCUGAGAGGAUGAUCAGCCACACUGGAACUGAGACACGGUCCAGACUCCUACGGGAGGCAGCAGUGGGGAAUAUUGGACAAUGGGCGCAAGCCUGAUCCAGCCAUACCGCGUGGGUGAAGAAGGCCUUCGGGUUGUAAAGCCCCUUUGUUGGGAAAGAAAUCUUUCAGGCUAAUACCCUGGGAGGAUGACGGUACCCAAAGAAUAAGCACCGGCUAACUUCGUG